CCUGAGUUUACUGCCUUGUUAACUCACACUGGUUUCCAUAGGUUGUGAGUGCAGAGUUCAUAUCUACCUGAAAAUAAACCACAUGGAUAUAUCCUGUAUCUCAAUUCUCCACUUACAAGUUGUUUAAUAUCAUGAGCCUGGUUGUAGGAGCACUGUGAAGAAAUAAGUAAUGAAAUAUUGGAAGAGGCUCACAUACCCUGUUAACGAGUUUUAAUCUAAAGGCUGCUGGCCCAGAUCUUUCUUCAUGAGGCUGGAUUGACUACUAUGCAAGCCUUUCCUGGCAGAAAUUUGACUAUUAUGUUCCUGGAAACCAUCAGUGACAAAGAUGCCACAGCCAUCUAUGAUCUGCUGUGCUGCACCGACCACGGUUGGUAAGGCCGAGAGAGAUACUUCACCCAGCCUACAACAUUUUGACAAGCAAGAAAAGCCACUGGGAACCUGUAACUUCUCCUCUUCAUACUAGAGCAAAGCAUGUCCUGGAUUUCCUGCUCUGGUAGGCUGCAAAAACCAUGGUUUUGGUGAGGACUUUAGCUCAAGUCCACAAUAAAGGGGUAGAAAAUGGUUUUGCA
rnacentral:lncRNA from 1 species